rnacentral:rRNA from 1 species
CCUACGGGCGGCAGCAGUAGGGAAUCUUCCACAAUGGGCGAAAGCCUGAUGGAGCAACGCCGCGUGGGUGAAGAAGGUCUUCGGAUCGUAAAACCCUGUUGUUAGAGAAGAAAGUGCGUGAGAGUAACUGUUCACGUUUCGACGGUAUCUAACCAGACAGCCACGGCUAACUACGUGCCAGCAGCCGCGGUAAUACGUAGGUGGCAAGCGUUAUCCGGAUUUAUUGGGCGUAAAGGGAACGCAGGCGGUCUUUUAAGUCUGAUGUGAAAGCCUUCGGCUUAACCGGAGUAGUGCAUUGGAAACUGGGAGACUGGAGUGCAGAAGAGGAGAGUGGAACUCCAUGUGUAGCGGUGAAAUGCGUAGAUAUAUGGAAGAACACCAGUGGCGAAAGCGGCUCUCUGGUCUGUAACUGACGCUGAGGUUCGAAAGCGUGGGUAGCAAACAGGAUUAGAUACCCCAGUAGUC